UCGGCCUGGCCUAUGCCAUUUCUGCUCCCCCGUGCUCAGUCCUAACACGGUAGUCUGGCAGGACACGCAGCGAUCUCCCUCUCAGUUUAGGAGGGCUGGCAAGAGAGGACAAU
rnacentral:snoRNA from 1 species